rnacentral:rRNA from 1 species
CCCCUAGAUGUUCUGGGCCGCACGCGCGCUACACUGAUGCAUUCAACGAGCCUAUCCUUGACCGACAGGUCCGGGUAAUCUUUGAAUCUGCAUCGUGACGGGGAUAGAUUAUUGCAAUUAUUAAUCUUCAACGAGGAAUGCCUAGUAGGCGCAAGUCAUCAGCUUGCGUCGAUUACGUCCCUGCCCUUUGUACACACCGCCCGUCGCUCCUACCGAUUGGGUGUGCUGGUGAAAUGUUCGGAUCGGCCGUUUGUCGCGGUUUCCGCGUCAUGUGGCUGAGAAGUUCAUUAAACCCUCCCACCUAGAGGAAGGAGAAGUCGUAACA